rnacentral:rRNA from 1 species
UAUGGAGGAUCCGAGCGUUAUCCGGAUUUAUUGGGUUUAAAGGGAGCGUAGGCGGGUUGUUAAGUCAGUUGUGAAAGUUUGCGGCUCAACCGUAAAAUUGCAGUUGAUACUGGCAUCCUUGAGUACAGUAGAGGUAGGCGGAAUUCGUGGUGUAGCGGUGAAAUGCUUAGAUAUCACGAAGAACUCCGAUUGCGAAGGCAGCCUGCUGGACUGUAACUGACGCUGAUGCUCGAAAGUGUGGGUAUCAAACAGG